GGAGACAUAGCUCAAUGGGAGAGCAUGUGCUUAUCAUGUGCAAGGCCUUGGUUUCAAUAUCUCCA
rnacentral:tRNA from 1 species